UCUUGAGCACUAGAGCACUAUUGGAUCUGGCUGCCUAUGCCUCAAUCUCAGCUUGUGUUGUAGAUGAAGUGGGGUGACUAGGAUCCAUAACAACAACAUUAUCCUCAAACUCUGCCUGAAGUGGCAGGUGUUGUGUGUCAAGUAGAUAUUUGCUCUUCCCGACCUUGGAGUUGAUAAGCAUCUGAAUGUAUGGAGCAUAUCCACAUGACCUCUUCUGGUCAGCUGCAGUCCUCUUGAUGGUCUCCACAAUGAG
rnacentral:lncRNA from 1 species